GCCCCUAUAGCUCAACGGAUAGAGCGCAGGCCUCCGAAGCUUGAGAUAGAGGUUCAAUUCCUCUUAGGGGCACCA
rnacentral:tRNA from 5 species